AUUGAACGCUGGCGGCAUGCCUUACACAUGCAAGUCGAACGGCAGCACGGGUGCUUGCACCUGGUGGCGAGUGGCGAACGGGUGAGUAAUACAUCGGAACGUACCUUAUCGUGGGGGAUAGCGCAGCGAAAGCUGUGCUAAUACCGCGUACGCCCUGAGGGGGAAAGCGGGGGAUCGCAAGACCUCGCGCGAUUAGAGCGGCCGAUGCCUGAUUAGCUUGUUGGUGGGGUAAAAGCCCACCAAGGCGACGAUCAGUAGCUGGUCUGAGAGGACGAUCAGCCAAACUGGGACUGAGACACGGCCCAGACUCCUACGGGAGGCAGCAGUGGGGAAUUUUGGACAAUGGGGGCAACCCUGAUCCAGCAAUGCCGCGUGAGUGAAGAAGGCCUUCGGGUUGUAAAGCUCUUUUGUCAGGGAAGAAACACCGGCUCUAACACAGUCCGGGAAUGACGGUACCUGAAGAAUAAGCACCGGCUAACUACGUGCCAGCCGCCGCCGUAA
rnacentral:rRNA from 1 species